UACGAAGGGGGCUAGCGUUGCUCGGAAUCACUGGGCGUAAAGGGUGCGUAGGCGGGUCUUUAAGUCAGGGGUGAAAUCCUGGAGCUCAACUCCAGAACUGCCUUUGAUACUGAAGAUCUUGAGUUCGGGAGAGGUGAGUGGAACUGCGAGUGUAGAGGUGAAAUUCGUAGAUAUUAGCAAGAACACCAGUGGCGAAGGCGGCUCACUGGCCCGGUACUGACGCUGAGGUGCGAAAGCGUGGGGAGCAAACAGG
rnacentral:rRNA from 1 species